rnacentral:lncRNA from 1 species
AUAGCUUUUUUUUAGCAAAUGAUUUUUGAUAUCGGAAAGCAUAUACGCACAUAAACUUUCACGAGCAAUUUUUAUAUUGCACCUAAACUUUCACUUGCUAUUUUUAAAGUUGCACCUAAACUUUCACGUGCUAUUUUUUAAAUUAUGGGCAUAACUCUUAAAAUUACAUUUGCACCGUUGAUGCAACUAAGAAAAUUACAAUGCAACUGAAUAAACAUCAGUUAAUACGCUAGGGUUGCACAAAUAAUAUGUGAAAAUUUGUGUUUGAUGAUACAAAAAAAACCAACAGAAACAAAAAAGAUAAAGUGAAGAAAUAAAAAGAAAAAAACUUACGUAUACGUAUUUUUAAAGUUGCACCUAAACUUUCACGUGCUAUUUUUUAAAUUAUGGGCAUAACUCUUAAAAUUACAUUUGCACUGUUGAUGCAACUAAGAAAAUUACAAUGCAACUGAAUAAACAUAAGUUAAUACGCUAGGGUUGCACAAAUAAUAUGUGAAAAAUUGUGUUUGAUGAUACAAAAAUAAACCAACAGAAACAAAAAGAUAAAGUGAAGAAAUUAAAAGAAAAAAACUUACGUAUACGUAUUUUUAAAGUUGCACCUAAACUUUCACGUGCUAUUUUUUAAAUUAUGGGCAUAACUCUUAAAAUUACAUUUGCACCGUUGAUGCAACUAAGAAAAUUACAAUGCAACUGAAUAAACAUAAGUUAAUACGCUAGGGUUGCACAAAUAAUAUGUGAAAAAUUGUGUUUGAUGAUACAAAAAAAAACCAACAGAAACAAAAAAGAUAAAGUGAAGAAAUUAAAAGAAAAAAACUUACGUAAAAUUGGCGUGAUGAAGAAUUGAACAGCAAACCUCACUCAAGACCUCCAAUAGAUGACCACCAGACCAGCAAGAUGAUUCUGACUAGUUCUGAACGCUGCCUUAUUUAUUUUUCUCAAACUAUCCGUUUUCUCCUUAUUGCACAAAUCUUGAUGCCUGAUCCAACCUCCCACAUGCGUUGACUGAGAAAAACUAAUUCUCAGGCGACUGCUCGCUAGCAGAUUCGAAGUGGAAAACAUAGGAUUGUGUACUUGCCAUCCUAAGGAAUGGUUUUUGCUUCAUUCGUAUGGAAAAAACAGGUUGGAUCUAAUGUUCAUUUUCUCCAAAAACAUAAAAAAAUACCGAAAAUCAGCCAGCGGAAAAGAUAAGUGCCGGUAAAAAAUAAGUGCUUGAUCGUCACAUCUAGCCUCACUAAUAACUAAUUUGCUCAUCUUGAACUCUUUUUUUUUAGGCCCAACUUGAACUCGAUUGAACACACAAAUCUCAGAGGUCACCGCUCUUUUUACUUUUUCUUUGUUUUGAACUGCCGGAGGUAGCCCAGGUUUAAUUUGUUGUGUCCUUCAUAAGCAGGGCUUAAAUUUGGAGAGAAAAAAAAUCCAGGUAGAUAGCCUCCGACCUCCGUUAAAAAUAAAAAGGAAAUAAAAACAGGUAUCUAGAUAACGAGGCAGAAACCGAAUCGGACACAACAUAAACACACAUGGCAAGACGGAAACUAGUCAAACUCGCCUCCAAGACUUUGGCUCUAUCUACACUCGUACAUGGCCCCCGGCGUCGAAGCGGCAGGCCCUGGCCAACGUGAGGGGGG